ensembl:lncRNA
CCGCCCGCACUUUCCCGGCGGAAAGUGGCUCGCCCGCGAGGGCGUGUGCGCAGGGGCGGGGCGGGGCGGGCCGGGAGCUGACCAGAGAGGGCGGCGUGGGGUCUCCUCCCCGCGGCGCGCCCGUCCUCCUCCUCCUCCUCCUCCUCCUCCUCGGGGCCUCGCUUCCUUCUCCUCCUCCGCACGCUCCGCCGCCCCUGUCCAGCCCCUCUGCCCCAAUGUGGGGGCAAGUGCUCACGGAGAGGCGCCGGGGCUCGGAACCCGGCCGGGCUCGGGCAAGCAGUUGCGAAACGCGCCGCGCCGGGGCAGGGGGCGGGCGGAGGGGCGCCGGGGGCGGAGGCCGCGCAGCCGGCGGCGGACGGCGCGAGCCCGGCGGCAGCUGUCAGCGGGCGCGGGGCGCGGGCGCGCCAGGGCUCGGCCGAGCGUGCGCGCCGGGGCCGGCUUCCCUCCCGCGGGCGCCGCGGCGGCCUCGCGCUCCCCACGAGCCCCGCGCCGCUGCGAGCCCGCGCGGCCAGGAAAAGCGCGCCCGGCUCGGGCGAAGCCUCGUCGGCGCCCCCGGCCUCCGCCUCCUCCGCGGCGCCGCCCCCGCGCCCGCGCCGAGCCCCCUCCUCGCUGGUCCCACACCUCCCUCUAGCGACUCCAGCCGCGUCCCUUCGCGGCUCUCCCGCCUCCCUCCCCCGCGCCCGGGUCUCACUGGCGCACACCCGUCUAGGGAGAGACCAGGUGGGUGGUAGAGGAUGUGCGGGGGAGCAGCCCGGAGAGGAUUUAGGUGAAUGAGGCGAGACGUCCAGAUCACCCAGUUCCACCCGCAAGGAGGCUCCUGCCCCAAUCGGGGGCUGACUUGGCGGGAAGAUGCGGGGAGCUCGUGCACUGCCCGGGGCUGCCGCCGGGGGUCGCGGAGGCCCCCGGCCCUGCUGCGGGCGCCGGGCACCAGGGACCACUCCACGCCGGCUCCCGCGCCGCCGUGGCCGGGUGGCAGGGCGAGGGGCGCAGCCCCUUCCCCUCGGGGCCGCUCGGCGUCGGCACAGCGGAGGCCGGAUGUGGGCACCUGCCUGCUUCCAGAGAGGGGUCCCAGCCGCGCCCGCCCCGCCCGGCGCGGGUCUCUCCCUCCCUCGCAGCCCCUUUAGGAGGGGCGACGCCCGCCGUGCGCCACGUUUCACUUCUGAUAUGACUGCCACCCGCUCUCCACCGCCCCCGCCGUGCACCGGGCUGGCUUGCCCAGACUCUGGCAAUCCCCAAAGGCCUCUGCCGCGGCCCAGAGAGCUAAGAGCAUCAAAGCAAAAACGCCGCCGCUCAGUCACACCUUCCCUUCCGAGCAACUCCCCUGCAACCUCGGUAAGUUCUGAUAGUAAGAUGGGUUCUCGCGAGAUUUCCUGCUCCGGCGGCGGGGGCGGGGUAGUGGGAAGGUUAGCCGUUGGUCACGCGACCUGAUGAGGGCUGACGUCACUCGCAUCACAUGAACACGUCUAGCCUGUUCGCAUCGCAAAGGCGAAAGGAAAAGGAGAGGUCGUGUGUGUUCUGCUUGCAUAGGCUUAAAGAUCUGGCCAGUUAGUGGCAUAUGAGUAUGCUCCGUAAAUGGCUCUCUGGAAAACCGCUCCACAGUUCCGGAAUACGUCCUACUUGUUAGCAAAUUAAUCAUGCAAAACUCAGGAUCGGGGGACUGGCCCCGUGGCCGAGUGGUUAAGUUCGUGCGCUCCGCUGCAGGCUGCCCAGUGUUUCAUUGGUUCGAAUCCUGGGCGCGGACAUGGCACUGCUCAUCAGACCACGCUGAGGCGGCGUCCCACAUGCCACAACUAGAAGGACCCACAACAAAGAAUAUACAACUAUGUACCGGGGGCUUUGGGGAGAAAGGGGAAAGAUAGAAUCUUUAAAAAAAAAAAAAAAAAUCAGGAUCGGCCAGUGUAUUGCUUCCAGCUCCUAACUUUCCACUUUGCUGAGGUGGAAGCAAAGCAUUCAUAAUGUUAUCUUCUUUUAAAGAUUACCAUUUAAUACCUGAAAGCCAAUCACAGCAAACAAAUGAGGACUGAGGGGUGAGGAGUGGGAGUUUGGGGGAGUUGCAAAGUAGUUGUAAGCAAAUUCCUAUUACUACCUAGAUUGCCAGGUUUCAGUCAGAUGAAAUCAUGUUAGUGCCAGGACCUGGUGGAAAUCUAGCUCUGAAUGUACCCUAUCCUUUUUUGUGAUAGCAUCAACUGACAAACAGCAGCAGAGAGCUAGAAGACAGACUGAAAAUGAUCACUAUAGACAAAUACAACAUGAGAACCAAAGAUGGAAAGUAUCUUCUUUCUCUUUCUUUUGGCCACUUGAAAUUAACAAUUGCAAGACUUCAGUAGUCACAGUAGGAAGGGAUAAGUUUCUAAUACUUAAUUAAACAAAGCAGAUGUUGACAAUCAUUGAUUUCCCUUGCUACAAAGUUACAAGACAAGAAAACAAGAAGAGAUGAUGCUUUCUCCGUAGCUCCCCAAAGUGCAGAAUCCAUCAGUAAUGAGUAGAUUUCUGUGAGAAUUUUAGCAGGGUCUGUAUUGGAGCCACUCUUCACUACAGAUUUAGAGGCAAGAAGAACAAAGCAACUUGCUGUUGCUUUUUCCAGUUAGCCUUGCCAAGGUACGAUAACUUGACCCUGUAGAGCCAGACACAAAUACAAUCUACUAGUGAGUGGAUAAUCUGUUCACCAGACCAUCCAUUUGUGCAAGAUGAAUUUACAGAUGAAGAAAUGAACUAGUAUUCAUAAAACAAGAGCUAAUACCAGGUUUCCUUUAUUUCAUCAGGUGCUGAAAGAAUUCAUUUUUCCUAAAAAUAAAAAUGAAUGUGUAAACAAAUAAGAAAAAAAGGAUAUCCACACAAUAAAGUAGUGCAUUUUCCGUUACUUCCAUGCAGAUUGGUUAGCAUACUUGAUCCUCCACAAACCUACUCAUGUACCUAACACUCUGCUAAAAGACUUGUAGCAGCAAAUUAUAUUAAAUAUGAUGUAUAAAUCAAAACAACUGUAUACAAAGUUGUGAAAUCACUAAUAAAGGAAAGAAAAUGGAUUAGCAGAUGCUGAGUCUUCCGCUGUGCACCGGUAAUGACUUUCACUUACUGCUGUUGCAACACUUAUCACACUGGCCUGUAAUGAGACGACUGGCCCCUCCGUGGCAGCCGCUGCCCCCAGCACUGCACUAGCACAGGGCUUGUGCAAUAAUAGGGACUCAAAAAUGCCUUUUGUUAAAAAAAA